UCGUCUUUGUAACAGGGUAUAUAUAUCCUCAAAUUCAUCAAUCAAAGUAAUUGUCCCAUCAUUUGUUCCCUUCUCUCUCGUUUUACUUUCACACGUUAUCACCCACGCCUCUUCCACAGAGCAGUUAGGCCAAUACAACGGCGGAGAACGGAGCAAAUCGACGGCACCAGCGCCCAUGGCCAUCGGCCUCAUGCACGGCCGUGGCGCCGCCGCCUCGACAGCGCUCCCACGGCGCACCACCAGUGCGCGAUGCAUGCGACAGAGGCACCCCACGGUCGACGACGCCCUCCUCUGCACNN
rnacentral:lncRNA from 1 species